AGUACAAUAAUAUUCCAUUUCUAUGGAAAUUUUGUAUCUUCGUGAAAAGCUUCUUUGUUACUAGGCUAACCUAACCUAAUGUACGCAAACAAAUAUCAGAAAAAUAGUCCUAGACGGCUUUAUACUUUUUCUUAUGAAACGAUGCUGCCGAUUUCAGUGAAAAAGUUCUAACCAACGAUCCAAGUUCGGACUCGACACCUUUUGUCAACCGAAGAUCAUCUUUCGUUGGCGCGUCCUUUAAAAUCAGAUAGUGGGUCCAGUGUAGCGCUGGCGUCGAGGCAGGCAACUUGAUAUUAUUUGUCACUGCUCAGUCAGGUAGAUUAGACUCGAUGGAAUCGUAGAAAAGGGAUUAAGGGUAUCCAAAUAUCCAAGUCCUAGCUAAUAACGAAGCUAAGCAUCGAGCAACGAGUAUCGACCUAAAGUCUUGGCCUAUUUUUCGGUUUUCACUGUCCCAUCAUUGGUCAGUCAUUCCUAACCUCAACAAUAGGUACCUUAGCACCCUCUACUUCUCAUUUUCAUUCUCUAUGGAUUCAUUACACUUAACAAGAGGUUUAUUAUUUAAAAAGGAUUUACGUUAAUUCGCCGGAUUCUUUGCUGUCUAACAAGAACACAAGGAUCGGGUCCUAAACAAGUGAUUAUCCGUUUGGGUUCCGAAUAGAAACCGAAAAUUGAAAAAUGCUUCCUGUGUUGUUCUUAAAUCUCUAGGAUGAAAAGAAAAAUACAUUGGAAAUAGUGAACGAAGCAAGUGAAAUAUUCCUUCGAUAAAAUAACAUGGAACACCCAGUAUAUGUAAGAGGGGAAGAUGUUAGAAAUUCUUGGUCGUACGGUGUAACGCUCCGUUGACACGAUGAUGGAUCGUCCACCUUGACCGGACAGGUAGACAUACAUUCACACUAACGCGUUGAAAGUGUGUAAUCGUAGCAGCACGCAGGUACCUUUACAAGGGUCAACAACUCCAUCAAAACGUGAAAAUCAUCUGAUACGGUGUUUGACCCGCUUACUUGCGAACUUGGCAUACGACAAACUCUGAACACGUGCACGGAAUUCAAUAUGAAAUAAUCAUUUUUAUAGAAUAAAAAAUAAAUUACUAUCAUAUGUUGUUGUACAAGUAACAGGAUUCUCGUUCAAUUAAUUGCGUUAUUCAGAAACGAUCAAUCAGCAAUUAGCAAUGUACUGUCCAGCUUGGGGUGACCAGACUAUGUAAUCUAAAGAUUGAAAACAGACUAGAACAUGGUGCAUGCAUACAAUUAUAAAUCUUCCCGAACGAUGCAGCCAGCAGCACGAGACGACGCUGACUCUAAUUAUGAAUCUUGAGACCUUGGCCACCCCUGAUCGGUACGUUUACGUCGGCCUGGCCAGGUCUCGCCGUUUGUUUUUCCCUGCCAAUUUGCACCGAGAUCUCGAGUCCACGACACGAGAUACACCAUUGGCGGAACAAGACGGAGGAACAAGCUGAAAGGCGAGGAGCACGAAGAGGAAGAGGAUGCAGGAAGAAAAAGGAGAUCGGGCUGGUCACACAUGACAAUGUACGACGAAGGCAUGAUGGAUGAGGGGGCGGCUAGUUUACGUGAUCGAGACAUGAUCGCCGGCAGACGGGGUGGUCCGUCUGUCCGUUUCUUUUCUCUUUCUUUCGCAUUGGAAUGGCUUGUCCAGUGUGUUUCGCCCUUUCCACGUAGUACACGUAACACACGAGAACUCGAACCACCCCUGUCACCGGUCUGACCGAUCUUAUUGUCAUAUUCUACGGACACGGGAGAAGUUGCUCCCUUAAGGCGAAUUUACACUUUUUAAUUUUGAAUAUUCUAUAUUCUGAAUAAUUUAUUCACAUAGGAAUGAUGAAAAUUAGAAUAUUUAUAGAUAAAUAUUUGUACAAUGAUUGAAUUCGUGAGUAUUGGAUUGAUUUAAGACGAAUUUAGACUUUUCACUUCGGAUAUGCACGAUUAUACGGCACUAAAACUGUAUGUUAUGAAUUGAUUAUUUGUCAUUGGUUAAGUUUAGACUUGCCAUUGUUUUCAUUAUGGAUGAAUCUUAUUGAUGAAAAGUAGAAAAUAAUUUUACUUUGUUCACCGAUCACUUUGAAUGUUCAUAUGAAAACGAUCUUUAUUACGGAUGAAAAAAUCUAAAUUCGUUUUUAA